rnacentral:rRNA from 1 species
AGAGUUUGAUCCUGGCUCAGGAUGAACGCUGGCGGCGUGCCUAAUACAUGCAAGUCGAACGAAGAGAUAGCUUGCUAUCUCUUAGUGGCGAACGGGUGAGUAAUACAUAAACAAUCUGCCCAUACGACUGGGAUAACCGUUGGAAACGAUGGCUAAUACCGGAUAGGUGAGAGGGAGGCAUCUUCUUCUUAUUAAAGUUGGGACACAACACGUGUGGAUGAGUUUAUGGCGCAUUAGCUAGUUGGCGGGGUAACGGCCCACCAAGGCGAUGAUGCGUAGCCGACCUGAGAGGGUGACCGGCCACACUGGGACUGAGACACGGCCCAGACUCCUACGGGAGGCAGCAGUAGGGAAUUUUCGGCAAUGUGGGAAACCCUGACCGAGCAACGCCGCGUGAGUGAUGAAGGCCUUCGGGUUGUAAAGCUCUGUUGUAAGGGAAGAACGGCGAUGAUAGGGAAUGAUCAUCGAGUGACGGUACCUUACCAGAAAGCCACGGCUAACUACGUGCCAGCAGCCGCGGUAAUACGUAGGUGGCAAGCGUUAUCCGGAAUUAUUGGGCGUAAAGGGUGCGUAGGCGGCCAUUUAAGUCUAAGGGAAAGUUCGAGGCUCAACUUCNAUUGCCUUAAAAACUGGUGGCUAGAGUGCAGGAGANGGCAAUGGAAUUCCAUGUGUAGCGGUAAAUGCGUAGAUUAUGGAGGACACCAGUGGUGAAGGCGGUUGCCUGCCUGUACUGACGCUGAACACAAAGCGUGGGGAGCAAUAGGAUUAAAUCCCUAGUAGUCCACGCUGUAGACGAUGAUUACUAAGUGUUGGGGAAACUCAGUGCUGCAGUUAACGCAAUAAGUAAUCCGCCUGGGGAGUAUGCACGCAAGUGUGAAACUCAAAAGAAUUGACGGGGGCCCGCACAAGCGGUGGAGUAUGUGGUUUAAUUCGAAGCAACGCGAAGAACCUUACCAGGUCUUGACAUACCGGGCAAAGCCUCAGAGAUGAGGAAAUAGUUAUGCCGGAUACAGGUGGUGCAUGGUUGUCGUCAGCUCGUGUCGUGAGAUGUUGGGUUAAGUCCCGCAACGAGCGCAACCCUUGUCUUCAGUUACCAUCAUUCAGUUGGGGACUCUGGAGAGACUGCCGGUGACAAACCGGAGGAAGGUGGGGAUGACGUCAAAUCAUCAUGCCCCUUAUGACCUGGGCUACACACGUACUACAAUGGCGUAUACAACGGGAAGCGAAAUGGUGACAUGGAGCAAAUCUCACAAAGUACGUCUCAGUUCGGAUUGAAGUCUGCAACUCGACUUCAUGAAGUCGGAAUCGCUAGUAAUCGCGGAUCAGCAUGCCGCGGUGAAUACGUUCUCGGGCCUUGU